CUCCGACCGAAAAAAAAGUUUUUCGGUUUUACCCGAAUUUUGCACACCCUUAGUAGUAUGGCCCAUACCGAUCGAAAUUUGCAUCGGAACAAAAUUUAGAGUUUGUUGUUUAGCUUCGCUAUCAGAACGGAGCAUUCCGACCGGCACGGGUGGUGCUAGAACGGAAUUCACUACGGAACAACAAAUAUUAGUGUUUCAAUGCAAGUUUCGACCGGUACCGACCGUACUGGUGCAUUCCGCCCUACCGGAAAAUAAUGGGCUAAGUGUUAGGCCUUUUGGAGGGAGAGAACGAAGGCCUCAGCUGAACUUGGAGAAUCGGCCUUCAUUGCUCCACAAAACUCUGUUGGGUGUAGUAGUGUAUCUGGGUCAAGCCCUGUUUGAAAGAUAAAGGUAAAACAGUGGCCUACCCGUCAUCUGGUUUAGAUAGUAUGAUUCAAAAUCGACAGGUUGAUAGUGAGAAAAGAAUUGCAAUGGAUACGAAUUCUGGAAGCUGAGGCCGAUGAUGCUAUUAUGACUGAUCAGCGUUGGGUAGCACAUCUGUAGGAUCCACCGGAUGAAGAAGAUAAGACGAUUGCCAGUGAGUCUAGUUUACAUGCUGCUCUAGUUGGAGUAAUGAAUCCCAUGCCUGUUGAUCAGGUAAUAAAUUCUCCCAAUAAUGAAGGCAAUAAUUUGGAAUUGUAGGGGAGUGGGAAAUGUGUUAUUCAUGAAGAAUUGUAUUGAUUGAAUUCGUCGAGAAAUUCCGGAUGUUUUGUGUGUGCUGGAAACUAAAGCUGCUGUGGGGUAUGGGUAAGACCUUAGAGAAGAAAACUCUCCUUGAAUGCUAGUUUUGAAGUUCAAGCCCAGGGAUUCCGAGGUGGGUUGAUUUUCCUUUGAUAUCGAUCUCAGAAAUUUUACUGAUCAAGCCAUUAAUUGCUUUGUAAAAGAAGGGCACGCUUCUUUUGUGUAUGUACAACCGAACCCAGAAGCCAAAAAUCGGUUCUGGAGGGAUCUUGUUGAUUGGGGUUCGAAUCUUAGAAUGCCUUGGACGGUGGCCGGUGAUUUUAAUGACUUUGCUUCUUUAGAAGAACGUAGUGGUUGGGUUGACCAUCUUAUGGAUAUCAGUUGCUCAGGAUCUAAAUUCACAUGGGUUCGUCGUCAGCAUGGGAGGAUUACUUUACAAGAAAGGUUGGACAGAGUUUUGUUCAAUCUUGAAGCUUUGAAUUAUGCCACUGUUAUAUUCUGAUCACCAUCCAAUUCUUCUUAAUACUUUGGGGUUCGUUGUGUCCUUCCAAGAGACUUGCGGGCUUUUAGAUUCGAAGCUGCCUGGCUUACUUGUAUGGACUUUUGAGGAAAUCUUCACGGAGUGGAUGGUGAACUCGAGCAAUAUUACACAGGCCAUUGAAGUAGCCACCAGGGCUGUUAAGGAGUGGAAGUCCUCUUUUGGCAAUAUAUUUGUGAGGAAAUGGUCAUUGAUCAAAAGGUUGCAGGGUAUUCAAAAUUCACCUCGUUAUAUGUUUUCUUCUUAUUUGCAACAGUUAGAAGCAAGAAGAAUUAUUGUGGCUUCAGAAAUCUCGUUUAGACUGGAUUUCUAAGGGUAAACGGAACACUCGAUGAUUUCACCUUACAAUGUUGAUGUGACGAACUCGAAAUAAGGUGUUGGGUUUAUUCAUUGAUGAUUCUUGGGCAUCUAAUCAAAGAAGUAUGAUGGAACAUGUGGUAAAUUACUUUGAUAAACUCUUUGCUAAGAAGCAGGUCUCUCCGUUACCUUGUGAUUAGCCUUUUUUCCAUGAAAGGACUGAAAGCUCCGGGUCCAGAUGGUAUUCAACCAGUCUUCUAUCAAAAGCAUUGGGAUUCGCUAUUUGAAUUUGUCAAGGGGGCAUGGAAUACUGUAUCACAACGUCUCAUCGGACCUUUCCAAAACAGUUUUCUUGCUGGAAGGAGCACAACUGAUAAUAUUUUGGUCGACACAGGAAGUGGGACAUGCGAUAAUGAAUAUGAGAGGAGUUCAAGGAGCGAUGAUUCUGAAGAUUGAUCUGCAAAAUGCUUAUGAUAAUGUGGACUGGAGCUUCCUCAGGUUUGUCUUGAUUGAAUUUGGUUUAUCAUGUUUUGUGUCCAAGCUAGUAAAAUCACCCCGAUUUGGAAUGGUCAAGUGACUUCAAAAUUUCCUCCACAACAGGGUUUGAGACAGGUCGACUCACUGUCACCAUAUCUCUUCAUGUCCCAUCUCACAUUUAUCUAGCAAGAACCCUGAAUCUCUAAACCCAAUCCAAACCCAAUCAUCAUCGAGAAAACAUCAAUAAUGCUUUUUUUUUUCUCUUAAAUUAUAAAGAUUUCAAAAGAUUUCAAUAGGUGUCGUCAUCUGGUUUACUAAUAACACAUAAAAUUAUACAAUAUCGGUGCAUCAAUUAUCAACCCUAAUCCGGAUUUGGAUCUUAAAACCCUUUCCAUGUAUUUAAUACUUCAUGAAAUAUAUCAGCUAUAAGCUCCCUAUCAGCACAUUGCAAGAAUGCAUGAAAAUCAUCUCGAAUAUCAUAUAUUUUACCAAACUUCACCAAAUACCGCAUGCAGUUCAUUUUCAGCUUUUGCAAUUGGUAUAAAUAUGCAUUUUGGAGCCUCUCGAGCACGUUUUUCGCAUCGAUAUCUUCGGUUAAGCUCUCGUGGCAUGCUUCUUUCAAGUCCAAGAUAUCGUAUUUAUCGGCCGCUCGAAGAAGUGCUAACCGGUGAGUUAGGAAUUCUUCGUGUUUGAUGUUCCCGUAAAUAUAUCGUAAGAAAGCUUGGCAAACUUCGAUCGACAUGUCGGAUAUGUUUAUGGUUGAAAGUUCUUUCUCUUGAAGGUUAUGUGAGAACAUGCUGUGGAACACGGGUGAUCUCGAAGCUAAGACGGCUCGGUGAGCUCCGAUACUUCCGUCGGAAACGUUGAUGAUGAUGUCGGUGUUGAUCUCUUCGGUUAACAUUCUACCAAGGCAUGCUAAUGCUGUUUCGUUUGAUUGUUUUGUUGUGAAACCUUCAGCCCAAAUAGAGGAAGGUUCCCCACCCUACAAAACAUUAAUUGUUAGUACAUCCAUGUUAGGGAAAUAAGUGGUAAAAGUAUCACGGAGGCCCUUGUAUUAAAAAUCAAAUUACAUUUUACUCCACUAUUCAAAAACUGAGAAAAUUAGUCCUUGUAUUAACAUUAUUUCAUCAACUACGUUAGUUUUUAGCUGUAGAAUGGAUAAAAUUUUUAACAGAAAAGAUUGAUUUGCUCUUUGAUACGUAUAAAGAUGAAUUUGCUCUUUUUUUUAAGUAAAAAAAAUAAAAUACGAUUUAAAUCCUACUACAGAGGCCUCCAUGAUACUUUUAUCAGAUAUAAGUAAAUUUGGAUUUUAUUUUUCAAAGUCUACUUGUAUCCAUAUCCGAAUAUGUGUACUUACGUUUGGAGAUGCAGUCUUUAGAUCAAGAAAUUCAACGUCAAUAAUGAAUUUCCCUGUCAAAGGAACCUCAAUAGGCCACACAAAAUCGUCGUUGUUCUUCAGCUGUUUGUCUAUUAUUUCUGCAAACAGAUGCAAUAAAAUUGUGAAAUUUUCUUCUUCUUCUUUUUCAA